UAAGUGCUUCCAUGUUUCAGUG
rnacentral:miRNA from 1 species